rnacentral:rRNA from 1 species
CCUACGGGAGGCAGCAGUGGGGGAUAUUGCACAAUGGAGGAAACUCUGAUGCAGCGACGCCGCGUGAGGGAAGACGGAUUUCGGUUUGUAAAGCUCUGUCAGUGGGGAAGAAAAUGACGGUACCUAAUGAGGAAGCCCCGGCUAACUACGUGCCAGCAGCCGCGGUAAUACGUAGGGGGCGAGCGUUUUCCGGAUUUACUGGGUGUAAAGGGAGCGUAGGCGGGAGGACAAGUCUGAAGUGAAAUGCACGGGCUUAACCCCGGAGCUGCGUUGGAAACUGUGGAGCUAGAGUGAAGGAGAGGCAAGUGGAAUUCCUAGUGUAGCGGUGAAAUGCGUAGAUAUUAGGAGGAACACCAGUGGCGAAGGCGGCCUACUGGACUGUAACUGACGCUGAGGCUCGAAAGCGUGGGGAGCAAACAGGAUUAGAUACCCUGGUAGUC